CUCUCUCAAGGGAUACAAUGGGUCCUCUCAGAGAGGAGAAGGACAGUGUACCCCUGGGGAUCCUAGGGAAAUUUCCAGAGAGUCCCACCCAGGUCUUCUCUUGAAUGCUGACUGACAGCAGGAUGGUAUCAUACUUCCAAGUCCACAUUGAGUAUGGCAAUUCUAGGUCACUUUGGCUUAUGCUGACCAGUUCCAAUUGGUACAUGUUCUUAUAGAUACUAUUGUUAGGGGAAUUUACACUUUUCUUCCUGAGUUCUGGGAUCUGAUCCUCAUGAAGGUCAGGAAUGUGCCUCCCCUGCACCCACUACACCUUCAGGGUAGCUUGUUUUAUUCUUAUCAGCAUUUCAGGUCUGCAUUUCUCCUGUAGAUAAAGGCUGUUUGCUGAGGAAUGUAAAAUAUUCUAUUGACUUAAGCCAGGCAGGGCUACAAGUAAAUAUCUUUUUCAAAGAAAGCAUGUGGGGCUUAACACAGUGGGCUCCAUUUAUAAACUAUUCUGUUAACCUUAUGUUACCACUGCUCACACCUACCUGUUUCUUAUCAAGUUGAUAGUAAAAAUAAGGUAUUUUAAUUUGUCACUAAAUUAAAAUUGGUCUGGACACUACCUGGAAAUGAUAAAAGUUCAUUAAUACAUGCAAUGUAACUGGAAUGCUUUGCAAUGUCUUCUGAAAAUGGAAAGUUUCAGAUUUUAUUGUCUGCUAGAACAGAACUAGUACAUGUGAUAAUUUUUUUCUGAUGUGAUUUUGAAGCUAUCUUAACUGGAAUAUUAUUGGAA
rnacentral:lncRNA from 1 species